GACGUAGGGCGCGAGCGUUGUCCGGAUUUAUUGGGCGUAAAGAGCGUGUAGGCGGCCAGAUAGGUCAGCUGUGAAAACUCGAGGCUCAACCUCGAGAUGUCGGCUGAAACCAUCUGGCUAGAGUCCGGAAGAGGAGAAUGGAAUUCCCGGUGUAGCGGUGAAAUGCGCAGAUAUCGGGAAGAACACCCGUGGCGAAGGCGACUUACUGGACACAUAAUGACGCUGAGGGGCGAAAGCGUGGGGAGCAAACAGG
rnacentral:rRNA from 1 species